rnacentral:rRNA from 1 species
AUUGAACGCUGGCGACAGGCCUAACACAUGCAAGUCGAGCGCGAAAGUCUUCGGAUGAGUAAAGCGGCGAACGGGUGAGUAAUGCAUGGGAAUCUGCCUGGUAGUGGGGGACAACGUCUCGAAAGGGACGCUAAUACCGCAUACGCCCUACGGGGGAAAGGGGGGGAUCUUCGGACCUCUCGCUAUCAGAUGAGCCCAUGUCAGAUUAGCUAGUUGGUGAGGUAAAGGCUCACCAAGGCGACGAUCUGUAACUGGUCUGAGAGGAUGAUCAGUCACACUGGAACUGAGACACGGUCCAGACUCCUACGGGAGGCAGCAGUGGGGAAUAUUGGACAAUGGGGGCAACCCUGAUCCAGCCAUGCCGCGUGUGUGAAGAAGGCCCUAGGGUUGUAAAGCACUUUCAGUGGGGAGAAAGGUUAUUCACCUAAUACGUGAGUAGAUUGAUGUUACCCACAGAAGAAGC